GGUCUGUCGCCGUGUGCCACCUAAGAGCACAGGGAGGAAAGUCCGGGCAACACAGAGCGUCAUACUUCCGAAAUGAAAGCUGUCGGCGACGGCAGGCAAGAUGUAACAGAGAAGAACCGCCACGCAGGCUGCGAGCCGCGUGGUAAGGGUGAAAAGGCGGGGUAAGAGCCCACCGGGCCCGUGGCGACAUGUGGCCGUCAGUACAUCCUAUGAGUUGCAAGGCCAAAUAUACCGGCAAUCAAGGGUUGCUCGCCCACUGCCGGGGGGUAGGCUGCUCAUUCGCGCGGGCAACCGUGCGAUUAGAUAAAUGACAGACACCGGCUCCGCGGCGUCCCAUCGAGCGGAGUACGGCACAUAACUCGGCUUACAGGGCUUCUG
rnacentral:RNase_P_RNA from 1 species